rnacentral:misc_RNA from 1 species
GUGGUGGUGGUGGCGACUGUGGUGGUUAGGUGGUGGUGGUGGUGGCGACUAGAUGGUAGUGGUAGCAAGGUGAGAUAGUGGUAAUGGUAGUGGCCAGGGUGAUGGUAGUGGUGGCAGGCGGUCAAGUGGUGGUAGUGGUGAUAGUGAUAGUAGUAACAGAAAGAUGGUGGUGGUGACAAGGAUAGCGGUGGUAAUAUUAAUGGCAAUCAAGUCAUAGUGGUGAUGAUAGCAGUAUUGUUAAUAUAUGAAAAAAAUUAAAAUAAGUAAUCAUAAUUAUAUUUACUUUUAUAUAUAUAUUUUAGAUAUAUUACAUAGUUUCAAUAAAAUUAUAUAUAUAUUAUACAAUUAAGAUGAUUGUAUAUAUAACUUAAUUUGUUUUUAGUUAUAAG